UACGGAGGGUGCGAGCGUUGUCCGGAAUCACUGGGCGUAAAGGGCGCGUAGGCGGCUUCUCAAGCGUGUGGUGAAAGUCCGGGGCUCCGAACCCCGGAUCGGCCCGUGCGGACUGGGGAGCUCGAGGUUCUGUAGAGGCGGGUGGAAUUCCGGGUGGUAGCGGGUGGAAUGCGUAGAGAUCCGGAAGAACACCGGUGGCGAAGGCGGCCCGCUGGGCCAGAGACGUGACGCUGAGGC
rnacentral:rRNA from 1 species